CGUUGUCACCCUGACCCUCCUCUGCUUCCGUACUUUGUAAUUGUCAAGCUCUCCGCGUUCUCUUCAUUCUUCCUAUCACGGUCCCCUAGCCAGGGGGUUUUGUGGAGCUCCCUCCCACCCCCACCCCCAAAGUCCUGCAACCCUGCGGGACGGCCAGAGGCUUUGGCAGCCAGAUGUUAGGAAAAGUGUCCGCGCUCUUUGCCGCCCUUGUGCACCCGGGAGCUCCAACUGGAUACGGAAGAGCCAUUUGAGAGAGAACUGGGAACAGGAAGCCCACUGUCUCAGAGGACUAGACCAUGAAUGGUGCUCCCCAAGCAACUGAGGACUGAGGGGAGUUAGCAGCGGCGAAGCCAAGGGAGGAGCCAAGCCCCCUGUGUUCCAAGCCAGCAUCAGUGCCUACCAUGGAAGCACCAAUAAAUAUUUACUGGCUGAAUGAAGGGAUCGAUGGUAUAUGAAUGAAUAAGUGAGUGCGUGAAAAGAAAUGAGCCCCGAACAUCCACAAAAGCUCCAAAUCACAACCUUCUUAUAUCCUCCACUAUAGUCCCUGUUUUUGCAAUUGGAUUUAGCCUAAAUUUCCCUAUUUCACACUACCUCCCUUGAUCUCUGUUGUGGGCUUGGUUGGAACAAAUCCAAGUAUCCAUUAAAGAAUCACUUCCAAUACCAAUA